rnacentral:rRNA from 1 species
UACGUAGGGUGCGAGCGUUAAUCGGAAUUACUGGGCGUAAAGCGUGCGCAGGCGGUCCGCUAAGACCGAUGUGAAAUCCCCGGGCUUAACCUGGGAACUGCAUUGGUGACUGGCAGGCUUUGAGUGUGGCAGAGGGAGGUAGAAUUCCACGUGUAGCAGUGAAAUGCGUAGAGAUGUGGAGGAAUACCGAUGGCGAAGGCAGCCUCCUGGGCCAACACUGACGCUCAUGCACGAAAGCGUGGGGAGCAAACAGG